rnacentral:rRNA from 1 species
ACACGUACCGUACGAACGUUAUUCGGAAUUAUUGGGCUUAAAGGGUGCGUAGGCGGCGUCGUAAGUCGGGUGUGAAAUCCCUCAGCUCAACUGAGGAACUGCGCCCGAAACUGCGACGCUUGAGGGAGACAGGGGUGAGCGGAACUGAUGGUGGAGCGGUGAAAUGCGUUGAUAUCAUCAGGAACACCGGUGGCGAAAGCGGCUCACUGGGUCUCUUCUGACGCUGAGGCACGAAAGCUAGGGUAGCGAACGGGAUUAGAAACCCCAGUAGUCC